GAUGAACGCUGGCGGCGUGCCUAAUACAUGCAAGUCGAGCGAACGGACGAGAAGCUUGCUUCUCUGAUGUUAGCGGCGGACGGGUGAGUAACACGUGGAUAACCUACCUAUAAGACUGGGAUAACUUCGGGAAACCGGAGCUAAUACCGGAUGAUAUUUUGAACCGCAUGGUUCAAAAGUGAAAGACGGUCUUGCUGUCACUUAUAGCUGGAUCCCCGCUGCAUUAGCUAGUUGGUACGGUAACGGCUUACCAAGGCAACGCUGCAUAGCCGACCUGAGAGGGUGAUCGGCGACACUGGAACUGAGACACGGUCCAGACUCCUACGGGAGGCAGCAGUAGGGAAUCUUCCGCAAUGGGCGAAAGCCUGACGGAGCAACGCCGCGUGAGUGAUGAAGGUCUUCGGAUCGUAAAACUCGGUUAUUAGGGAAGAACAUAUGUGUAAGUAACUGUGCACAUCUUGACGGUACCUAAUCAGAAAGCCACGGCUAACUACGUG
rnacentral:rRNA from 1 species